GGCAAUGUAGUUCACUGGUAGAAUGUUUGCCUAAUGUGCAUGAGGCCCUGGGUUCAAUCCCCAGCACUGCCA